ensembl:lncRNA
AAACUCAGCCCAGUUCAGCAAUAGACGGGUUUAUAAGAAGAUACCCAGUCUGGAGUCAGACGUUUAAUUAACUUAAUGAUUAUAAUUAUUAGUAGGGUUAUUACGAAGUCUUUCUGCUGUGUUUUAUUAUAGUUUAUAACUAUCUACUAUCCACUUAGGAUGCCAUAGACACACUUAUUCUUCUUCUUCUGCUACUACAACUACUACUACUAUUACAACUAUAGCCAGAUAUACGUACCAGGGAGUUGAAGCUCUCUCUCUCUCUACUAAUCUCUCUGUUCCUUCUAGGGAGUUGAAGCUCUCUCUCUCUCUACUAAUCUCUAUGUUCCUUCCAGGGGAGUUGUAGAUCUCUCUCGCUCUCUCUCUCUCUCUCUACUGAUCUCUCUGUUCCUUCCAGGGGAGUUGUAGUGAGAGGUUUGGCCCGUCAUAUGAUUCAUGGACAGACAGACAGACAGACAGACAGGCAGACAGACAGGGAGGCAGGCAGGCAGACAGACAGACCAGGAGAGAGAGAGAUAGAUCAGGAGAGAGAGAGAUAGAGAGGAGGAGGAUUCAGGAGAGAGAGAGAUAGAGAGGAGGAGGAAUCAGGAGAGAGAGGGGAGGAGGAAUCAGGAGAGAGAGAUCGAGAGGAGGAGGAAUCAGGAGAGAGAGAGAUAGAGGAGGAGGAAUCAGGAGAGAGAUAGAGAGGAGGAGGAAUCAGGAGAGAGAGAUAGAGAGAGGAGGAGGAAUCAGGAGAGAGAGAUAGAGAGGAGGAGGAAUCAGGAGAGAGAGAUAGAGAGGAGGAGGAAUCAGGAGAGAGAGAUAGAGGAGUAGGAAUCAGGAGAGAGAUAGAGAGGAGGAGGAAUCAGGAGAGAGAGAUAGAGAGGAGGAGGAAUCAGGAGAGAGAGAUAGAGGAGUAGGAAUCAGGAGAGAGAUAGAGAGGAGGAGGAAUCAGGAGAGAGAGAGAGAGGAGGAGGAAUCAGGAGAGAGAGAGAUAGAGAGGAGGAGGAAUCAGGACAGAGAGAUAGAGAUGAGGAGGAAUCAGGAGAGAGAGAGAUAGAGAGGAGGAGGAAUCAGGACAGAGAGAUAGAGAUGAGGAGGAAUCAGGAGAGAGAGAGAUAGAGAGGAGGAGGAAUCAGGAGAGAGAUAGAGAUGAGGAGGAAUCAGGAGAGAGAGAUAGAGAGGAGCAGGAAUUAGAGAGAGAGAUGUAGAGGAGGUAGAAUUAGGAGAGAUAGAGAGGAGGUGGAAUCAGGAGAUAUAUAUAGAGAGGAGGAGAAGGAGUCAGGUAAGAGAGAGAUAGAAACAAGGAGGAAUCAGGAGAGAGGGAAAUGGAGAGGAGGGGGAAUCAGGAGAGAGAUAUAGAGAGGAGGAGGAAUCAGAGAGAGAGAGAUAGAGGGAGGAGGAAUCAGGAGAGCGAGAUAGAGAGGAAGAGGAAUCAGGAGAGAGAGAUAGUUAGGAGGAGGAAUCAGGAGAGAGAUAGAGAGGAGGAGGAAUCACGAGAGAGAUAUAGUGGAGAAGGAUUCAGGAGAGAGAGAGGAGGAGGAAUCAGGAGAGAUAGAUAGAGAGGAGGAGGAAUCAGGAGAGAGAUAGAGAGGAGGAGGAAUCAGGAGAGAAAGAUAGAGAUGAGGAGGAAUCAGGAGCGAGAUAGAGAGGAGGAGGACUCAGGAGAGAGAGAGAGAUAGAGAGGAGGAGGAAUCAGGAGAGAGAGAUAGAGAUGAGGAGGAAUCAGGAGAGAGAGAUAGAGAUGAGGAGGAAUCCGGAGAGAGAGAUAGAGAGGAGCAGGAAUUAGGAGAGAGAGAUGUAGAGGAGGAGGAAUCAGGAGAGAGAUGGAGAGGAGAAGGAAUCAGGAGAGAGAGAUAGAGAGGAGGAGGAAUCAGGAGAGAGAUUGAGAUGAGAAGAAAUCAGGAGAGAGAGAUGGAGAGGAGGGUGAAUCAGGAGAGAGGGAGAUAGAGAGGAGGAGGAAUCAGGAUAGAGGGAGAUAGAGAGGAGGAGGAAUCAUGAUAGAGAGAUGGAGAGGACGACGAAUCAGGAGAGAGAUAGAGAGGAGGAGGAAUCAGGAGAGAAAGAUAGAGAUGAGGAGGAAUCAGGAGCGAGAUAGAGAGGAGGAGGAAUCGGAGAGAGGGAAAUGGAGAGGAGGGGGAAUCAGGAGAGAGAGAUAGAGAGGAGCAGGAAUUAGGAGAGAGAGAUGUAGAGGAGGAGGAAUCAGGAGAGAGAUGGAGAGGAGAAGGAAUCAGGAGAGAGAGAUAGAGAGGAGGAGGAAUCAGGAGAGAGAUUGAGAUGAGAAGAAAUCAGGAGAGAGAGAUGGAGAGGAGGGUGAAUCAGGAGAGAGGGAGAUAGAGAGGAGGAGGAAUCAGGAUAGAGGGAGAUAGAGAGGAGGAGGAAUCAUGAUAGAGAGAUGGAGAGGAGGACGAAUCAG